AGCUGGAUCAUUUCGAGAGUUUUCGAACUCAACAAAAAAAACACUUGAGCAAAUACUCAAAUACUUCAGCGGAUGUGUUAUACACUCCGCUUUAGAACUGAACAACUCAUAACGGUGGAUGUCUCGGCUUCCCAAUCGAUGAAGGACGCGGCAAUAUGCGAUAAAUUCGUAUGAAUUGCAGAAUCAAGCGUAUUAUCAAACCUUUGAACGCAACAUGCGUGCUGGGUCUUAACUCAAGCACGUCCACGGUUCAGUGCCGAUAACUGUGUUGGGGACAUAUUUUAGGCCCUUAAGCACUUGGUAUAAAAGUACCAAUUUAUCAUUUUCAAGGCCUGAACUGUGGUCGACCACCCGCUGAACUUAAGCAUAUCAUUAAGCGGAGGAAAAGAAAACAACUGUGAUUCCCUUAGUAGCGGCGAGCGAAGAGGGAUUAGCCCAAGCCGAAUCAGAUCACAUCUGAAUUGUGGAGUAUGAAGUUCUUUGUAUUUCCGCAUGUUGGAAAAGUUUCCCUGGAAUGGAGCGCCCUAGAGGGUGAUAGCCCCGUUUUCCGACCUCUGCGCGAAACAAUACCUUUGAACUUUCGGAGUAGUAAUGCUUGGGAAUGCAUUGCGAAUGGCAGGUAUACCUCUGCCAAGGCUAAAUAUGAUGGGAAGACCGAUAGCGCACAAGUAGCGUGAGCGAAAGAUGAAAAGCACUUUGGAGAGAGAGUGAAAGAGUACCUGAAGCCGUUAUGAGGUAAGGGAUGGACCACUAUCCAUGACUAGUUGAUGGUUGCUUGGUUCUCCAUGUAAUCCUCUCUUCUGGUCCUGUCUACCGCUGUUUUGAUGACUAGCUUACUUUUUUGGGUUUCGGCCUAUUCUUGCAUGUACUUGAUCUGAUGGACAGUUUUCCUUCGUGAGGGGUGAAACGCUUUGGUCUCCUACAGAGGACUGGGGAUUCCGGAUACCUGCUUCGGCAGGGAUUCCUGUUUCUCUUUCGUUCUUUGGAAGUGCCUUCGUCUUCUCUUUCAUAGGUAGACUUUGAGAUGGCCUUUGGCCACGAUGGGGUUCAUCCGCCCGUCUUGAAACACGGACCAAGGAGUCUAACAAGUAUGCGAGUCAUAUACUGAAUGAAAGUAUAAGGCGUACUGAAAGGGAAGCGCAUAUCUCUGCGUUUGGUGUCAACCGUGCGACUUUUGUUAAUCGGUGCAGCACCGGCCGAGGUCUGGCAAUCGGCUGGAUUUUUGAGCCUGAGCAUACAUGUUGGGACCCGAAAGGUGGUGACCUAUGCCUGAACAGGACGAAGCCGAGGGAAACCUGGGUGGAGGUCCGUAGCGAUGUUGACGUGCAAAUCGCUCGUUAGAUUUGGGUAUAGGGGCGAAAGACUCAUCGAACCACCUAGUAGCUGGUUCACCC
rnacentral:misc_RNA from 1 species